UGAUGCGAUCGCUUUGGUACCGACAGAUUUUCUACGCAAGAAUUGCAAGAAAAACUAGAGAAAACUUUAUUUAUUCAACGUGCUUCAGUUUAUCACGUUGGUUGAAAUAUAUAGAAAAGAAAAGAAAGACAAUCCUAAAGCUACGUAAACUAAUCAAGGAAUAAUUCUAAUCCUAAUAAUUAAAGAAGACUAACUUAACUAAAAUACUAUAAAAAUAUAAUAACUAGGAAUUAUAAUAAUAAAGAAGCUAUUAAUAAGGAAGCUAUUAUAGAGACCCAUAAGCCACGAUCCUAACUAGUCCAAGUAGCGCCGGUUAGGUCGGAUGGUUCGCAUGCUACGACGUGGCUUAUCAUUCCCUCCCUCUUCAAAUACAACCUUGUCCUCAAGGUUAAGGUGGGGAAACUUUUCGACAAGCACCUCCAAAGCUUCCCAAGUGGCGUCUUCUACUGGCAAGGAAUUCCAUUUAACCAACACCUCUCGCACGCGGCCACCAUUUCCAGCAACAACCCUAGACUCCAGAACUUGUGUGGGCUCAAGAACGGGUUCUCCGUCCACGGUGUAAGGUGGUAAAGUAGCUACUGCAGACUGUUGAUCCCCAAGCUUACGCCGAAGCAAUGAAACGUGAAACACCGGGUGUACGCGAGACUCGCUAGGAAGGUCCAACUUAUACGCCACACGGCCAAUUCUCUCGACAAUGCGAAAUGGACCGUAAAAACGGCUAGCCAACUUAUGGAAAAUCCUCUUGAAAACAGACUGUUGUCGAUAUGGUUGAAGUUUUAAAUACACCCAGUCGCCAAUCUCAAACUGCUCCUCACGUCGAUGUUUAUCAGCCGCUUGCUUCAUUCGAUUCUGAGCGGCUGCCAAGUGAAUUUUCAAUUCCUUAAUAAUCUCAUCUCGUGCCCUCAAGGUUCGAUCAACCUCUGGUACAUUAGCAGUUCCAGCCAUGUAUUGCACCAAUGGUGGUGGAGGUCGCCCAUAAACUGCUUCAAAUGGUGUCAUUCCAAUGGAUUGAUGGAACGAUGUAUUGUACCAGAAUUCAGCCCAUGCUAGGUAUUCUUCCCAUUGUCUUGGUUUGAGGUAAACGAAGCACCUUAAAUAUUGCUCAAGACACCGAUUUACUACUUCGGUUUGGCCGUCGGAUUCGGGAUGGUAAGCCGAACUAGUGCACAAGGCAGUCCCCUGCAAGCGAAAUAGCUCCCGCCAAAAAUUACUCAUAAAAACUUUGUCUCGAUCAGACACAAUUGACGUGGGAAGGCCAUGUAAUUUGACCACUCCUCUCACAAAUGUAGCUGCCACAUCUUUAGCCGUGUAUGGGUGGGUUAAUGUCAUAAAGUGGGCAUAUUUUGAUAAUCGAUCGACUACCACGAAGAUCGUAUCUUUCCCUUGCGAUCUCGGCAAUCCCUCAAUAAAGUCCAUACUUAUAUCGGCCCAUAUGACAACUGGUAUUUGCAAUGGUUCGAGCAGCCCCGCCGGCCGACGAUGAUCAGCUUUAUUUCUUUGGCACGUGUCACACUCGCGCACAAAUUGCCGCACCGCUGAUCGUAGUCCUUGCCAUGAAAACAACUGUGAAAUGCGUUUGAAUGUGCGAAGCUCUCCUGAAUGUCCCGCAAUUGGUGAAGAGUGAAAUUCUGUAAGGAUCUUUUGUCGUAGAGGACCCGCCUCGGGAACCAUUACACGUCCUUUCACCCAUACGCACCCAUUUUUGACUGAAAUCCCGUCUUCACUUGAAGUAUUUUCCCCUUUUUUUUUCAGCUCGUUCAACUUUGGAUCCUCUGCAGUGGCAGCGGCGAUCUCGUCCCACACGGCCCAAGUCGGUAUGGUAAUAGCAGAUAACUCCGACUCGCUGACCAUACCCUCGUCGAUUUUUGGAUUUGCAUGUUCGCGGCGGGAUAAGGCAUCAGCCGCGCUAUUUUGUUUUCCCGGCUUAUAAAUGAUCUCGUAAUCAAAUCCCAAUAACUUAGCUAUCCACUUUUGUUGUUCAGGCGUAGUAAUACGCUGCUCAAGAAGAUAGCGGAGACUUCGGUGAUCAGUGCAUAUUUUGAAUUUACGCCCUAAGAGAUACGGUCGCCAACAUCGAACCGCUUCUAAAAUCGCUAGCAUCUCUUUUUCGUAAGUGGACCAAGCCCUCUUUGUUGCGCUAAUCCCCUUGCUAAUAAAAGCAAUAGGUCUUCCCCCUUGACUCAACACAGCCCCUAUGCCUUCACCGGAAGCGUCCGUCUCAAUGGUAAAUUCCUCCUCAAAGUUUGGUAGGGCUAGAACAGGGGUCUUCGUCAUUGCUUCUUUUAAUUUUUCAAAUGCUAAUUGUGCCUCUUCCCCCCACUUGAAGCCUCCUUUUUUGAGUAAGUUUGUCAGUGGUCGAGCUAUACUCCCAUAGUUGUGUACAAAUUUUCGAUAAUAACCGGUUAACCCUAAGAAUCCACGUAAUGCGCGCACAGUUUUAGGAGAAGGCCAUGAUACCAUAGCUUUAAUUUUUUCUUGAUCAACUCUUACCCCUUCGUGUGAAAUCCAAUGGCCCAAGUAUUCCACUUGCUUUUGGCCAAAACAACAUUUACUGGGUUUUAGAAAAAAAUGUGCAUCCCUCAAUAUUUGCAAAGUGGUCCGCAACUGUUGUAGGUGAUCUUCCCACGAUUUACUAUAAACUAAUAUAUCAUCAAAAAAAACCAAUAUGAAUUUCCGCAAGUGUGGCCGAAAGAUCUCAUUCAUAGCAGCUUGGAAAGUCGAUGGUGCAUUACACAAUCCGAACGGCAUUACUAGAUACUCGUAGUGGCCAUUAUGAACUCGAAAGGCAGUUUUGUGAAUGUCAUCAGGAUGUACCCGGAUUUGAUGAUAGCCCGCACGUAGAUCGAGCUUGCUGUAAUACUUAGCCCCGUGUAGCUCAUCAAGCAUGUCGUCCACGGUUGGUAUAGGAAAUCGAUCUUUAAUAGUUACGUCAUUCAAUCCCCUAUAAUCUGUGCAGAAACGCCACGAACCAUCCUUCUUUUUUACGAGAAGAACCGGCGAUGAAAAAGGACUUGUACUUGGCCGAAUCAGUCCCGACUUAAGCAAUGCGGCUACUUGUUUUUCGAUCUCGUUUUUCUGGAAGUGUGCGUAUCGGUAGGGUCGCACGUUGACGACGGUUGCUUCAUCGUGUAAACGUAUACGGUGGUCAAACUCUCGUUGUGGUGGUAAGGUUUCGGGCUCUGCCUGGAUAUCAAGAAAUUCAGUCAAUAAUUUUUUUAUUUCCACAUUGCCGGUACCAACUACUUCGCUUGUUUCCUCCCUAUCGAACGAUGCCGCUACUCCGAAUAGCUCGCCUCCAGCUUUCCAGUCCCCGAUCAGCGCAUGGAGCUCGCUAAUUUCGAUGUCCUUCUCUUCCCGUCCCUGAAUGUGAUAUUCACGGCCUUGGACUUUAAAUUUCAUUGAUUUUUUUCGAUAAUCUGUUAGCACGGGACUCAGGUCCUCGAGCCAUGGUAAACCCAGUACUACAUCUAGUCCGUCGAUCGGCAAAGGAUAUAAAUUGGCUCGAAAAUCAUAUCCCUGUACAUGCAUUGGGACGAUUUCACACCUUGCCGAACAUUCCAAUUUUUGACCAUUCGCCAUCCGCACCAGAAAAGGCUUAAUCGGUUUAACCUCCAAUCGUAGUCGUUGAGCUAAUUCCGGGUUGAUGAAGUUGAGACUGGACCCGUUAUCCACCAACAUUUCGACCGGUGAAUUCUCAAGCUUUCCACUUACUCUCAUGGCUUUCUUUCCCGACUCUCCUCCAAUCGCAUGCAACGAAAUUUGUUGCGGCUCAUCAAAGUCAACUGCUUCAUCGUCGCCCUGAUCUUCCGCUUCGAUUAUUAAAGCUUGUGCUUUUUUACACUGGUGCCCUCUUACAAACUUCUCAUCACAAUGAUAACAUAGGUUUUGUUCCCUACGACGUUGCAAUUCUUCCCAGGUCAGACGCUUUGCUCCAUCAGCGACCAAUUGACGAGUGUUGGUUGCCGGGUUCGGGUUCACGAAUUUGGAGUUUGUGGAAUUCGUGGUCCUUGUUUGGCCUGCACUUCUUUUCCCGAAUUGCAGCUGCUCGUCCUUGCGUUUUGCUAGCUCCAUAGCAGUCUGUAGAUCCUUAGGUUUGAACAGACGAACGUCCCCCGCAAUAUCUUCACGGAGACCUGCCAUGAAAGCUCCCAUAAGUGCCUCUUCGGGCCAAUCUGGUAGACAAUUCAUGAGCUUCUCGAACUCUCCUAAGAAUUCUUUGAAUCCUCCCUUCUGUCUUAAACGACACAUGGACUCAUUGGGGUCCUCGUAAUUGCCGUGGCCAAAACGCAAUAGUAUCCCUUUCUCGAAUUGCCUCCACGAUAUUUUACGACCUUGAUUCGCCCUUUCGAACCACUGCCACCAUUGAUUGGCAUCUCCUUCUAGAUGAUACGAAGCCAGCACUACUUUACGAUGGCCAUGUAAGUCAUUAGCCAAGAAAAAUUGCUUCGCCCGAUUGAGCCAUACCCUCGGCUCUUCACCAUCAAAUUUUGUAAAAUCCAUUCUAACCUGGUGGUGUCGCCUUCCAUGUUUGCCGUUGUUCGAAGCUCGACUCCUAAUCGAAUUGUUCGACAUGCGGCUAUCUUGGCUGUCGCUGCCCGACGAGUCGUCCGAUGGUGGCGGCGACGACUCGUUUCUUCUCCCCCAUGGGUUUUGUCGAUCUUGCCCUCGUUCAAGCAUCCUUUGCAUCUGUUGCAUAGAAGUCUGGAUCUCUUGCACGGAGCCUUCCAAUCUAUCAACGGAGCCUUCCAAUCUAUCAAAUCUUUCCUUAUUUGUUGCCAUGACCGUAGCGGAGCGUUGAUGUUAUCGCAACCUCGCUCUUGAUACCAAUUGAUGCGAUCGCUUUGGUACCGACAGAUUUUCUACGCAAGAAUUGCAAGAAAAACUAGAGAAAACUUUAUUUAUUCAACGUGCUUCAGUUUAUCACGUUGGUUGAAAUAUAUAGAAAAGAAAAGAAAGACAAUCCUAAAGCUACGUAAACUAAUCAAGGAAUAAUUCUAAUCCUAAUAAUUAAAGAAGACUAACUUAACUAAAAUACUAUAAAAAUAUAAUAACUAGGAAUUAUAAUAAGAAAGAAGCUAUUAAUAAGGAAGCUAUUAUAGAGACCCAUAAGCCACGAUCCUAACUAGUCCAAGUAGCGCCGGUUAGGUCGGAUGGUUCGCAUGCUACGACGUGGCUUAUCA
rnacentral:lncRNA from 1 species